rnacentral:rRNA from 1 species
AUUGAACGCUGGCGGCAUGCCUUACACAUGCAAGUCGAACGGUAACAGGUCUUCGGAUGCUGACGAGUGGCGAACGGGUGAGUAAUACAUCGGAACGUGCCUAGUAGUGGGGGAUAACUACUCGAAAGAGUGGCUAAUACCGCAUGAGAUCCACGGAUGAAAGCAGGGGAUCGCAAGACCUUGUGCUACUAGAGCGGCCGAUGGCAGAUUAGGUAGUUGGUGGGAUAAAAGCUUACCAAGCCGACGAUCUGUAGCUGGUCUGAGAGGACGAUCAGCCCCACUGGGGCUGAGACAAGGCCCAGCCUCCUACGGUAGGCAGCAGUGGGGAAUUCUGGACAAUGGGCGAAAGCCUGAUCCCGCAAUGCCGCGUGCCGGAUGAAGGCCUUCGGGUUGUAAACUGCUUUUGUACGGAACGAAAAGCCCCGGGUUAAUACCCUGGGGUCAUGACGGUACCGUAAGAAUAAGCACCGGCUAACUACGUGCCAGCCGCCGCAGUAA